rnacentral:misc_RNA from 1 species
AAGUCGUAACAAGGUUUCCGUAGGUGAACCUGCGGGAGGAUCAUUACAGAGGUUUAUCCUUAUUUUGUGAAUUUUACAUCUGGUGUGUAUGUUUUUGUAUGAGCGAGUGCGGAGCACGAGUUGAUAUCAAUUGUGAAAGCAAUGAGUCGAACCAUUCAUUCAAACACUAUACAUAUGCACCAAACUUUACACCAUAUAUUGUCUGAAGAAAAGAGAUGAAAAA